GACGAACGCUGGCGGCGUGCCUAAUACAUGCAAGUCGAGCGAAGUGGAGAGAGCUUGCUCUCGAAGCUUAGCGGCGAACGGGUGAGUAACACGUGGGCAACCUGCCCGAUAGACCGGGAUAACUUGGGGAAACUAAAGCUAAUACCGGAUAGGAUCAUUAAACGCCUGGUUGGUGAUGGAAAGUCUGAACGACACUAUCGGCAGGGCCCGGGGCGCAUUAGCUGGUUGGGGGGGUAACGGCCUACCAAGGCGACGAUGCGUAGCCGACCUGAGAGGGUGACCGGCCACACUGGGACUGAGACACGGCCCAGACUCCUACGGGAGGCAGCAGUAGGGAAUCUUCCACAAUGGGCGAAAGCCUGAUGGAGCAACGCCGCGUGAGUGAUGAAGGUUUUCGGAUCGUAAAACUCUGUUGUUAGGGAAGAACACCCGGGAGAGGAUCCCGGUUUGACGGUACCUGACGAGAAAGCCCCGGCUAACUACGUGCCAGCCGCCGCAGUAA
rnacentral:rRNA from 1 species